rnacentral:rRNA from 1 species
UGGGGAAUAUUGGACAAUGGGGGGAACCCUGAUCCAGCCAUGCCGCGUGUGUGAAGAAGGCCUUAUGGUUGUAAAGCACUUUAAGCGAGGAGGAGGGUACUGGUAUUAAUACUACCAGCUACUGGACGUUACUCGCAGAAUAAGCACCGGCUAACUCUGUGCCAGCAGCCGCGGUAAUACAGAGGGUGCGAGCGUUAAUCGGAUUUACUGGGCGUAAAGCGUGCGUAGGCGGCUAAUUGAGUCGGAUGUGAAAUCCCCGAGCUUAACUUGGGAAUUGCAUUCGAUACUGGUUAGCUAGAGUGUGGGAGAGGAUGGUAGAAUUCCAGGUGUAGCGGUGAAAUGCGUAGAGAUCUGGAGGACUACCGAUGGCGAAGGCAGCCAUCUGGCCUAACACUGACGCUGAGGUACGAAAGCAUGGGGAGCAAACAGG